AGGGUGUAAACGCUGCAGACUUGGUGUUGGGAACCCUUCGGGGGUGCUCAGUGCCGGAGAGAAGUUGUUAAGUCUGCUACUUGGGGAGUACGUCCGCAAGGAUGAAACUUAAAGGAAUUGGCGGGGGAGCACCGCAACGGGAGGAGCGUGCGGUUUAAUUGGAUUCAACGCCGAAAAACUCACCAGCAGCGACUGUUACAUAAAAAGUCAGGUUGAUGACCUUACUAGAUUUUCAGAGAGGUGGUGCAUGGCGUCAGUGACU
rnacentral:rRNA from 1 species